AUGAUGGCAACUGGGAAGCCAGGUUCUCAAGCAUAGUUAGGUCAGUCCCUAAAGGGACUUCCCACAGAGAAGGUGAACACCUGUGGUACUGAUGUGAUUGCACUCACCAAGCAGGUGCUGAAGGGCUCCCAGAGCUCUGAGCUGCUAGGUCAAGCAGCUCAAAAUGUGGUACUACAGGAAGAUGCCAUCUUGCACUCAGAAGAUAGUUUAAGGAAAAUGGCAAUAGUAACAAAGUAUCUUCAAUACCAGCAAGAAGUUAUUCAGAAGAAUGUUGAAGAGUCAUCAGAUCUACAAGACCAGUUGAAUCAUCUGUUGAAAUAAAAUGGCAUAUAAGAGUACAAUAGCACUUCUUUGCCUAAUGUUGAGGAAGAAAUAUCUUACACAACU